CAGAACAUACUCAGCUAGGAUCUAUUUUAUAGUUUCUAACUCGAGUCUCGCAUGUUUACACAUGCCACAUCCUUCAAGUCCAGUCGAUGACAUCCGCGUCCACCCGUCAUACCGAGAACUAUGGCCUGCGCCCUUCGGGGAGCGGGUCUCGAGGACGUUUGGCUCGCUCGCUCCGCGCUUCUGGUUCCAGACGCAGGGUGGGCUUGCCAGCGGGUUGGACGUCAGUCUGAUGGAU
rnacentral:snoRNA from 1 species